UACGGAGGAUGCAAGCGUUAUCCGGAAUGAUUGGGCGUAAAGCGUCCGCAGGUGGCUAUGUAAGUCUGCUGUUAAAGAGUGAGGCUCAACCUCAUAAGAGCAGUGGAAACUACACGGCUAGAGUGCGUUCGGGGCAGAGGGAAUUCCUGGUGUAGCGGUGAAAUGCGUAGAGAUCAGGAAGAACACCGGUGGCGAAGGCGCUCUGCUAGGCCGCAACUGACACUGAGGGACGAAAGCUAGGGGAGCGAAUGGG
rnacentral:rRNA from 1 species